rnacentral:misc_RNA from 1 species
AACGCACAUUGCGCCCUCUGGCAUUCCGGAGGGCACACCUGUUCGAGCGCCGUCAAAACACUGAGGCUUUGCCUAGCGAUGGUGGACAUCUCUUCGGAGAAGCCGCCCAAACUUAGACGGCGCCGCACCGCGGCCGACGAUGCUCAAACGCGUAUGUCCAAGCGGAAGUGGCAGCCUGUUUUCCGAACAGUUUGGCCUCGAAUCAGGUGGGGAUACCCGCUGAACUUAA